CCCUUAGAUGUUCUCGGCCGCACACGCGCUACACUGAAAGAGGCAACGUGUUUGCCUGAUUCGAAAGAAUUGGGUAACCCCCUAAUCUCUUUCGUGCUGGGGAUUGAGGUUUGCAAUUAUCCUUCAUGAACGAGGAAUUCCCAGUAAGUGCGAGUCAUUAUCUCGCGCUGACUACGUCCCUGCCCUUUGUACACACCGCCCGUCGCUACUACCGAUUGAAUGAUUUAGUGAGGACUUCGGACUGAGUCCAAUGCGGCUUUCGGGCUGCGUUGGUAUUUCGGAAAGAUGUCCAAACUGUAUCAUUUAGAGGAAGUAAAAGUCGUANCA
rnacentral:rRNA from 1 species